CGCGAACGGGCUUGUGGUUCGGAGAAAUCGACUGAGGCUCGGGCCGAGCUUGGGGCCGGCUUGUGUCACGGGCCAAAAAUGGCCCGUGACAAUUCGGCUCGGCCCGAGCCUAAAUAAUGGAAAAAAAUAAGUUUUUAAAGUUAGCUGCACCAACGAGGUAGCUAUAGCUGCCUAUUUUACGAGGUAGCUACUACUGCCUUAUGCCUUCUACGACUCUGCCUUCC
rnacentral:lncRNA from 1 species